rnacentral:rRNA from 1 species
AGAAGUUUCCAUUAAUCAAGAACGAAAGUUAGAGGUUCGAAGGCGAUCAGAUACCGCCCUAGUUCUAACCAUAAACGAUGCCAGCUAGCGAUCCGGCUGUGUUCCUCAAAUGACACGCCGGGCAGCUUCCGGGAAACCAAAGCCUUUGGGUUCCGGGGGGAGUAUGGUUGCAAAGCUGAAACUUAAAGGAAUAGACGGAAGGGCACCACCAGGAAUGGAGCCUGCGGCUUAAUUUGACUCAACACGGGAAAACUUACCCGGCCCGGACACAGGAAGGAUUGACAGAUUAAGAGCUCUUUCUUGAUUCUGUGGGUGGUGGUGCAUGGCCGCUCUUAGUUCGUGGAGCGAUUUGUCUGGUUAAUUCCGAUAACGAACGAGACUCUAGCCUAUUAAAUAGGCGUUCCGAUCCUUUAUGUCGGACGUUCUUCUUAGAGGGAUAAACGGCGUUUAGCCGCACGAGACAGAGCAAUAGCAGGUCUGUGAUGCCCUUAGAUGUCCGGGGCCGCACGCGCGCUACAUUGAAGGAAUCAGCGUGUGCUCUCCCUGUCCGACAGGACUGGGUAACCCGUUGAAACUCUUUCGUGCUGGGGAUAGAAAAUUGCAACUGUUUUUCUUGAACGAGGAAUUCCCAGUAAGCGCAAGUCAUUAGCUUGUGUUGACUACGUCCCUGGCCUUUGUACUCACCGCCCGUCGCUAUUACCGAUAGAACGAUUUAGUGAGGUCUUCGGACUGGCGCUCGGAGCGGCCUUCGGGUCACGCGCCGCGGUGCCGGAAAGAUGACCGAACUUGACCGUUUAGAGGAAAUAAAAGUCGUAACAAGGUAUCCGAGUGGG